GGGGCUGUUGCUCAGUGGUAGAGUGCCUGCCUAGCAUGCAUGAGGCUCUGGGUUUGAUCCUCAGCAUCACA
rnacentral:tRNA from 1 species